GGUUUUAUAGUUUAUUUGAAAAUUUUAAAUUGCAAAUUUAAAGAAAAAUUUUUUAAGACUU
rnacentral:tRNA from 1 species